rnacentral:rRNA from 1 species
GGCUCAGAAUCAACGCUGGCGGCGCGCCUAACACAUGCAAGUCGCACGAGAAAGUGGAGCAAUCCAUGAGUAAAGUGGCGUACGGGUGAGUAACACGUGGAUCAUCUACCUCCUUGUGGGGAAUAACCAUGGGAAACCGUGGCUAAUACCGCAUAAGCUCGAGAGAGGAAAGCAGCAAUGCGCUGGGAGAGGAGUCCGCGGCCGAUUAGCUAGUUGGCAGGGUAAAAGCCUACCAAGGCAAAGAUCGGUAGCCGGCCUGAGAGGGCACACGGCCACACUGGCACUGAAACACGGGCCAGACUCCUACGGGAGGCAGCAGUGGGGAAUCUUGCACAAUGGGGGAAACCCUGAUGCAGCGACGCCGCGUGAGCGAUGAAGCCCUUCGGGGUGUAAAGCUCUUUCGGCAGGGAAGAUUAUGACGGUACCUGCAGAAGCAGCUGCGGCUAACUACGUGCCAGCAGCCGCGGUA